rnacentral:rRNA from 1 species
GCAUGGUCUUGUUAUUAAAGAAUUUCGGUUAUCGAUGGGGAUGCGUUCCAUUAGGCAGUUGGUGAGGUAACGGCUCACCAAACCUUCGAUGGAUAGGGGUUCUGAGAGGAAGGUCCCCCACAUUGGAACUGAGACACGGUCCAAACUCCUACGGGAGGCAGCAGUGAGGAAUAUUGGUCAAUGGGCGCAGGCCUGAACCAGCCAAGUAGCGUGAAGGAUGACUGCCCUAUGGGUUGUAAACUUCUUUUAUAUGGGAAUAAAGUUUUCCACGUGUGGAAUUUUGUAUGUACCAUAUGAAUAAGGAUCGGCUAACUCCGUGCCAGCAGCCGCGGUAAUACGGAGGAUCCGAGCGUUAUCCGGAUUUAUUGGGCUUAAGGGGAGCGUAGGUGGACAGUUAAGUCAGUUGUGAAAGUUUGCGGCUCAACCGUAAAAUUGCAGUUGAUACUGGCUGUCUUGAGUACAGUAGAGGUGGGCGGAACUCGUGGUGUAGCGGUGAAAUGCUUAGAUAUCACGAAGAACUCCGAUUGCGAAGGCAGCUCACUGGACUGCAACUGACACUGAUGCUCGAAAGUGUGGGUAUCAAACAGGAUUAGAUACCCUGGUAGUCCACACAGUAAACGAUGAAUACUCGCUGUUUGCGAUAUACAGUAAGCGGCC